AGGAGUUUGAUCCUGGCUCAGAACGAACGCUGGCGGCGUGGAUAAGACAUGCAAGUCGAACGGGAACUUUUUUGGUAGCAAUACUAGGAAAGUUCUAGUGGCGAACGGGUGCGUAACACGUGGGCAAUCUGCCGAGAAGUGGGGGAUAGCUCGCCGAAAGGCGAAUUAAUACCGCAUGUGAUCAGAGUAGACAUCUAUUCGAAAUCAAAGCCGGGGCAACCUGGCGCUUUUUGAGGAGCCCGCGGCCUAUCAGCUUGUUGGUGAGGUAACGGCUCACCAAGGCGUUGACGGGUAGCUGGUCUGAGAGGACGACCAGUCACACUGGGACUGAGACACGGCCCAGACACCUACGGGUGGCAGCAGUCGAGAAUUUUUCUCAAUGGGGGAAACCCUGAAGGAGCGACGCCGCGUGGAGGAUGAAGGUCUUCGGGUUGUAAACUCCUGUCAUUUGGGAACAAGGUGCACGUGUUAACUGUACGUGCGUCUGAUAGUACCAGAAGAGGAAGAGACGGCUAACUCUGUGCCAGCAGCCGCGGUCAAUACAGAGGUCUCAAGCGUUGUCGGAUUCAUUG
rnacentral:rRNA from 1 species